UUGGUUAAAAAAUAAUUUCUCUUAUUCAAAAACUGCUCAGAGGAAAGAGUACAUUUCGUUUCCUUUCAGUCUACCAGAGGGAAGAGUACUCUUUCCCUUCCCCUCCGUUCCUUUCAAUUCACUUUUCCAUAUAUGCCACCAAACGGACUACGAGGGAAGUUGGCGUGGUUAUACCAAAGGAAGGAGGUCACUGUUAAGAACAGAGGCAAUAGAUUUCAGUGUUUGGCACUGUUUCUUCUCCUUUGCCCUGCUAAUUCAAUUAAGCUCGUCUGGUUCUUCGAUUCUAGGAAGACACCUAACGAAAAUCUCUCAUUGAAUGCGUUUGGUUUCAGUUUGAAGUCAGAUCAGAUCAAAUCAAUCACCGGAAAUUCUAAUUCCCUAUCGGAGUUUCAACACCAAUUCUGCGGUGAAAUUUGGGAGUUUCAGUUCAGUUGGAGGAGUCGGAGACAUAUCUCCGGUCUCAGAGAAUGAUAACUCGUUCUAAACUCGUCGAGCAACUCAGAGAUUACCAGAUCCGAUCUCAGCACAAGUGCCCUGCUCUCACUUUCUUCUCCCCCAAACCCAAUCUCACCACCUGGACUGAUGUUGUUGUGGCAGUCUUGUGGGCCUCACUGUUUUGCCUGCUUGUAGUUUCAUCCAAUGUGAUGCUUUACUACAGAUAUUUUUGGUUUUCUUUUGUCGUUAUAUGUCUCGGCAUCCUUAUCCCCGUACGCUUGAGAAUUAU